rnacentral:rRNA from 1 species
UACGGAGGGUGCAAGCGUUAUCCGGAAUUACUGGGCGUAAAGUGUGCGCAGGCGGCCGAGCAAGUCGAGUGUGAAAGCCCCGAGCUUAACUUGGGAACUGCGCUCGAAACUACUUGGCUAGAGUGUGGCAGAGGGAGGUGGAAUUCCACGUGUAGCGGUGAAAUGCGUAGAGAUGUGGAGGAACACCGAUGGCGAAGGCAGCCUCCUGGGCCAACACUGACGCUCAUGCACGAAAGCGUGGGGAGCAAACAGG